GCGGUUGUAGUUUAACGGUAGAACGUUAUGCGUCCGGCAUAAAGACCCAGGUUCGAAACCUGGCGGCCGCUCCA
rnacentral:tRNA from 1 species